CCCUUAGAUGUUCUGGGCCGCACGCGCGCUACACUGAUGCAUUCAACAAGUAUUUUCCUUGGCCGACAGGCCUGGGUAAUCUUUGAAAAUGCAUCGUGAUGGGGAUAGACCACUGUAACUGUGGUCUUGAACGAGGAAUUCCUAGUAAGCGUGAGUCAUCAGCUCGCGUUGACUUCGUCCCUGCCCUUUGUACACACCGCCCGUCGCUCCUACCGAUUGAAUGAUCCGGUGAAGUUUUCGGACCGUUGCCGCCCAGCUGAUUCGUUGGCCAGGCGGUGGUGGGAAGAUACCUAAACCUUAUCAUUUAGAGGAAGGAGAAGUCGUAACA
rnacentral:rRNA from 1 species